CCUGUUUAUCUUAGUGGCGGACGGGUGAGUAACGCGUGGGUAACCUGCCCUGUACAGGGGGAUAACACUUAGAAAUAGGUGCUAAAACCGCAUAAGCGCACAGUACCGCAUGGUACAGUGUGAAAAACUCCCGGUGGUACAGGAUGGACCCGCGUCUGAUUAGCUGGUUGGAGGGGUAACGGCCCACCAAGGCGACGAUCAGUAGCCGGCCUGAGAGGGUGAACGGCCACAUUGGGACUGAGACACGGCCCAAACUCCUACGGAAGGCAGCAG
rnacentral:rRNA from 1 species